UGCCAGCAGCCGCGGUAAUACGAAUGGGGCAAGCGUUGUUCGGAAUAACUGGGCUUAAAGCGUAUGUAGGCGGAUCAUAAAGUCAGGAGUGAAAUCCCGAGGCUCAACCUCGGAACUGCUCUUGAAACUCAUGAUCUAGAAUACUGGAGAGGUUGGGAGAAUUCCUAGUGUAGAGGUGAAAUUCGCAGAUAUUAGGAGGAAUACCAGUGGCGUAGGCGCCCAACUGGACAGUUAUUGACGCUCAGAUACGAAAGCGUGGGGAGCAAACAGGAUUAGAUA
rnacentral:rRNA from 1 species